GAUAAAAUGACUCACUAUUAUAGCAUUCUUCUAAUCAAGAAGAUUGUGAUAGUUUUCAUAAAUAUAACCGAAACAAGACAUUUAAUAUACUCAAUACUUCCUUAUAAGUAAUAAGUAGUAAUUUUAAUGAAUUAAUUUAUCUCACAUAUUUACAACUAUAAUCUGCAUUUAAUUGGCUUAAGUAUAAUAUUUUUCACUAGUUUUAAUAUUCAAAGAAUAUUAUAUAUUAUAUUUAUUGAAGCUAUAAUAAUUAUACAAAUAUUAGAGAGCAUGAAAAUCUAGAAAAUUAUUUGGCAUGGCUAAAUUUUACUUUUAAAAAAUACAGAAGUGCAAAAGAAAAUACAAAAGUGCUAUUAUGUUUUUUGAAGUAUUGAUCCUAUUGCCCAGUCUUUUACCGUAGCAGCCUCAAAGUGGAGGAUAGUUGUCAUCUACAGGAAAUAGUAAAUAUCAAACACUUAAGAGAUUUAUAAAAUAAUAAUAAUAAAAGAACUUAAGAUAAUUCUGAUUUUCCACCAAAUAUGUUUUGUUUAAAGUAAGUAAUUUUAUUAGCUCUGUUGUAUGAAAAUCAACGAUGUGAAUUUUCUUGAGGGAGUUACUCUUUUUCCAUGCUCUUCCUUUUUGUGUUGGUACUAUAGAUGGCUUGUUUGAAGAAAGACAUCUAAAUUUGUAUUUGAAAUAAAUGUUUUAAUCAUCAAUCUUUAUUACAUAUUAAAAGAUGAUGUGUCUCAGGCAAAUGAUACCAAGCUCUGGCCGUGUAAUCAGUCAUAUUUUGUUGAUAAAAUGAUUGAUGUUUAAUUCUAGAAGAAAAAAAAUAAAACUACUCAUUUUAUGCUGUUGAAUCUUAGCUGUGAUGAUUUCAAAUUUGGUAUAAUAUAAGGGAUGCACAAGGUUGAAAUAGUUACUAAUAACAAUCUUCCAAGGAAUCUUUAUGGGAUCAUUCCAUUCAGAAACCACCUUUCCAUAUUAUUUAUUCAUGGAUCCACCAGUUACUGGACUUACAAAGUGUGCUAGAUACUAGAAACUUCGAUUUCAGAAUUAUAAAUAACUGUAAAUAUUAAAUACUUUGAAAAUAUGAGUGUGCAUAGUUUUUGCCUUCUAAAAAUCUAUGACUGAAUGGGUCUAUAAAAAUUAAUACUAUAAAAUACCAAAAAAAGUUAAAAUAUUUUACCUUGCUACAAUUGGGAUAUAAAAGGGAAUGAUCCAUCUUACUAAUGGAAAGAUGAAGAAUAAAUUCAAAUAUGAGAACAUUUUUUCUCUGACCCAUGAAUGAGAAUUAUUAUUAUUAUCUUGCUUUUUAGAAAGUAAUCCGUGGUAGAGGUUAGAAGAUGGAAGGCAGGAUGCUGCAUAAGAAAAAGUCUGGAAGCAUGAAUGAGUAUGUGACUUUUGCAUUGAAGGCAUAAUUUGAUAUGAAAUAAAUACUGUGAAAGAAGAGGAUAGGGAAAUAGCCAGGAUCUAGAAUAAGAAAGAAAUUAUAUGCCAGCUAAAGAGUUAGAUCUUUAUUCUGCAGACAGAUGUGUAACAUUACCAUUUUAAAAGGUUUGUAAUAUAAAAGUUCAUGCUGGUGAUGAGGCAGAGGAUAGAUUGGAAAAAUACCAAAGGGAAUUAGAAUAAGAAGAUGAAUUGUGGAUUUCCAUCAAUACAGCAGACUCAGCAAUUUGAGGAGGGGGAAAAAAAAAAAAGCUCCUUAACAAACAUUUAAAAUUGACCAAUUAAAGAAACAACUCUUCAACUGUCCUUUUAAGCAGAGCUAACAGGUAAGAAAGCAAGAGAAAUUGUCAAAAUCCAAAAAUUCAAUGUAAGUUGAAAAACAGAGGCGAUUAUCAAUCCUGGGAUAAAGGAGGAAGUGUAGCUAGGGUAAUGAGGAGCAACUAACUGGUGAGCAACUGGAGUCAUGUUAAUCAAUUAGUUCCAAUUUUAACCACUGUGUAAGAACAUAGGAAAAGUCUUAAAAAUAUUUAAAUAAGGAUGCCUGGAUGGCUCAGUGGUUGACCAUCUGCCUUUGGUUCAGAGCAUGAUCCCAGGGUCCUGGGAUCGAGUUCUGAUUGGGCUCCCUGGGAGGGGCCUGCUUCUCCCUCUGCCUAUGUUUCUGCCUCUCUCUCUGUGUCUCUCAUAAACAAAUAGAUAAAACCUUAAAAAAUUUAAAAUAAAAAAAUAAAUGAAUAUAAUGAAUAUAUGUAAAUAAAAACUUAUAAAAUUCAGAAUCAACAUGUCAGUAUACUCUUCUACCUAGAAAAAGUCACUUCAUAGAUGAGGCUUCUUGGGCAAAAGAAGAUGAAUGAGGGUCAUGUCCUGGAGCUGCACUGUCAAAACCGUAUCCAUUGACCACUUAUGACUAUUGAGCCCUAGAAAUGUGGCUAGUCCAAACUGAGAUAUAAGGUAAAACAUACACCAAAUUUCUAAGAGAGUACCAAAACAUAAUACAAAUAUCCCACUGAUAAAGUUUCUUGUUAAUUACAUUUGAAAUUAUGAUAUCUUAGAUAUACUGGCUUAAUUAAAAUAUCUUAAAAUUUAUUUUUCUUUUCUUCUGCUUUUUAAAAAAUAUGGUUGUAAGAAAAUUUUAAAUUACAUUCAUAGAUUGCAUUUGGGGUUAAAUUAUCUUUCUAUUGGACAGCUCUGUCCUAGGGAAGGACCUUUUAAUAUUAAGAUCUCCCAGUGAGUAACUGCAUUAUUACUUGUUGAUAGUGUUAACUCCCUAAGACACUAGAAUUUAAUGUGUCUUUUGCUUUUGCUUUAAGAUAUACAUUUGAUUAAUGAAUCCUCUUUUUAAAUAGAAAAUAAGAUGUGGUUUAUGUAUACAAUGGAAUAUUACUCAGCCAUUAGAAACAACAAAUACCCACCAUGUGCUUCAACGUGGAUGGAACUGGAGGGUAUUAUCCUGAGGGAAGUAAGUCAGUUGGAGAAGAACAAACAUUAUAUGGUCUCAUUCAUUUGGGGAAUAUAAAUAAUAGUGAAAGGGAAUAUAAGGGAAAGGAGAAGAAAUGUGUGGGAAAUAUCAGAAAGGGAGACAGAACAUAAAGACUCCUAACUCUGGGAAACGAACUAGGGGUGGUGGAAGGGGAGGAGAGUGGGGGGUGGGGGUGAAUGGGUGACGGGCACUGAGGGGGGCAAUUGACGGGAUGAGCAGUGUUAUUCUGGAUGUUGGUAAAUUGAACACCAAUAAAAAAUAAAUUUAUUAAAAAAAAAAGAAAAAAAAGAAAACCAAAUGCCCUAGCCAGUAUCAACCACCUUCCCCUUAACUAUUGAAAAUGACAAUUUUGUCCACCUGGGAGGUUCAGUCUGUUGAAUGUCCAACUCUUGAUUUCCUCUUAUUUCAUGAUCUCAGGGUCCUGAGAUCGAGCUUUGAAUCUGGCUCCAUGCUUAGCAUGGAGUCCGCUUAAAAUUAUCUCUCUCUCCCUCUGCCCUCCUCCCUUCUCUCUCUCCCUCUCUCUCAAAUGAAUAAACAAAAUCUUUAAAAAAUAAAAUAAAAUGACAAUUUUCUCAUAAAUGCAUUAUGAGAAAAUAAUCUGCAUCUGUUAAAAUAACACCAUUUCUUCACUACAUUUUCCUACCACUUAUACAUUUUAAUGUCUUUUGAUGGAAGUUCCCAUUGAUUGAUCUUCUUUUCAUAAUGAUUUGUUUGCUCACAAACAUUUCUUUCUCCAAACAUAUUUUUCAAAUUAUUGUUAUGUAUAUAAUAAUAAAAAAUUCCAUUAAAUCAUGUUUAACUGGAAGUAAACUUAAACAUUACUUUGGGAUGCUGUUGACAUCUCUUACACCAAGUUUAGUAUAAUUUUCUGAUAGAAUUAUAUGUCUUUCCCAAACUAUCAGUUUCAUUUUGUGUUUUUCUUUGGAAUAACUUUUUAAGUUUAUUUUUUAUAUUUAUCUAGUUAAGCUUCUGU
rnacentral:lncRNA from 1 species